rnacentral:rRNA from 1 species
AUUGAACGCUGGCGGCAGGCCUAACACAUGCAAGUCGAGCGGAGCGGCGGACGGGUGAGUAAUGCCUAGGAAUCUGCCUGGUCGUGGGGGAUAUCGUCCGGAAACGGGCGCUAAUACCGCAUACUAUCAGAUGAGCCUAGGUCGGAUUAGCUAGUUGGUGGGGUAAAGGCCUACCAAGGCGACGAUCCGUAACUGGUCUGAGAGGAUGAUCAGUCACACUGGAACUGAGACACGGUCCAGACUCCUACGGGAGGCAGCAGUAGGGAAUAUUGGACAAUGGGCGAAAGCCUGAUCCAGCAAUGCCGCGUGUGUGAAGAAGGUCUUCGGAUUGUAAAGCACUUUAAGUUGGGAAGCGGUACCAACAGAAUAAGCACCGGCUAACUUCGUGCCAGCCGCCGCGGUAAUUC